GAAAAGUAAAUAAAUCACUUGAGAGAAGUUCCACAAGGAACCAACUCCAACUUAUCUACACCCCACCCCACCGUGUGUAUACUCAUUCCAUAAUGAAAUAGUUAUGGUUAACAAAGUGGAUAUUUGUUCAGGUUGGUUUCUCCACAAAGAAGGGCCUGAAACCUUAGCACUCUCAUCCACACGACCAUACAUCUAUUGCCUUCAUCCCUCCCCAUACUUCAAGCAAGAAUCAAAGUGAUCCGCCUCCUGGCUCCCCGACUUAGCUGAGAGAAGGUUCAGAUCACACACCCAUCAGAUCUCAGACAGAAGAGAGAGCAAGAAAGAACCGUCUCAGCGUGGGGGAGAUGGGGCCAUACAACCUGUCUGUCCCCAGACAGAAAUGCAAAGCCACCUAGGUGAAUCGCAUGCAGCAAGCAGCAGUCACACCUCGUCCUGGAGAAUGAAUGAAUGGAGGGAGAGGGGCAGCCGGCUACCUCACGGAACAAGAGAGGGUUUAAAUACUCAAUGAGGGCGCCUCUGACCUCAUUAGUAGUGAGAAGCCAGCCACCCGAUCACCCUGGGAGGGUACCUGAUCCUGACCUGGCAGAGGAAGAGAGUAAUUGAGAGAAGAUAGGCCAACCGCUCCCCCAACCCCAACUCUCGCCAAAGACGAAGGCACCUGGUGGCGGAGGGGCAAAGGAGGGGGCAAUCGCGACAGCCCCCACUCCCAAAUUCCUCCCGGGCCCCACCAGCAGCUGCUAGCGCAGUUCUCCCCGAGAACCUCCUGCUGGAGCAUGUGAGAGACAAAGCAAGGGGAAGGAUGGCAAGGGAGGAAAAAACUUUGUUGAGGGAGGGGGCUGCAGACACACGCACACGCGCGGGAGCUCUGCUGCGAGGCCAGUUAAGGGGGGCACUGCAGACACCCAUCUAGAGGAAGGCAUAGGCAGCUGAGGUUGCGGUCCUUCCUCCUUUCCUUCUUCCUCCUCCCCCUCCAGUCCGCCACCUUCCACAGCAUGGGGUCCCAGAGCCACCUCUCCCCCACCCCCACUCCGCUCAGUUCGAACACACCCUGCCUUCCUCACCUCGUAGCCCCUUCCCCGCCGCCGCUACCGCCGAGGGCGAGCCAGGAUGGCCCAGCCAGUCCACUCCCGCGCCGGUCCCACGGCUGCGUCCCUCUUCUCCCACUCUACCCGAGGCUCUCAAGGCAGCUGCCGCACCCCCCGCCCCCAGCGCCGCGCCCCCACCCAGUUCCGCGGCCCCGCCCAGCCCCGCCUUCGCCCCCCUCCCCCUCACCUCCCCACCUACCUCGGCCGCUGUCCCGCGAUUGGUGACACGAGCCAGCAACAUCGCGCAGGGAAGACUCGGGCCCAACUCUGGCGGCGUCAUAAGAAGUCUAAGCUCCGCCCACCUUCGAGCGUGGGAGGAAAAGCCCCCGGGCUUCCGCGCACUGGGUCCUAGAGAGCGCGCCGUGGUAGGGGUGGGGGUGGGGGUGGGGGUGGGGGCGGGGGAGAGGAGGUGGAAAGCGUGCAUGUCCAACGGGGAUGGGGGAAGGCGGGAGGAGACUAGACUCCCCCUCUGCACAGGUUGGGAUGGAAGACAUCGUUCCCUCUCCGAUCUGACAGGUAUACUAUUCUUAAGUUUGUGAUCUUGCAAAAUAAUGGGUUUCUGGAGUCCUUUAUGAAAUCCAAGAGUACAUGUCCUACAUUUGGAUGAGACUUUCAUGGACACUGGACAACAAACCAGGACAGAAGGGUACAACUUUUACAUCUGUUGCUUUAAUGAGGGUACUACUUUUACUCUGAAUAACUAUGACCUAUAACCAUUGUGAAAGGGAGAACAGAUGAGGGGAAGGUAGCCAUUUCAUGAACUGGGCAAGAGGAGAUUGUUGCUUAUAAAGCAUUUUCUUGGUGAUGUGUGAUGGAAUAUCCUUCAUCUUAUUCACUUUAAGGCAGGCAGGCAGAUGUCAUUCCUUUGAAUUGGUUGCUAAGCAGGAAUUCCAUAGAUACUAAGGGGGCAACCUCUACCUCUCAAGUACUCUUCUUCCUGCUGGAUUUAAGCAAUAAGGAUGAUUUUCUGAGCUUCUGUCUGGGGGAGAGAUCAAGUACCUUUCACCCACCUCCCCAGACUACUCAAUCAUCAUAACUACACACACACACACACACACAAUAGUAGAACUAAUGGUGCUCCUGCCUAGCAUGAGGACAAUAAUAUCCCUGUCCUGUGCUGGACCUCUGCAUAAUGGAAUGCAGAGUCAGGCUAGGCAUAUGGAAGAGUAAGGUUCUAGUAAUGUCAGCAUGGAGGUGAUAGUGCAGUGGUUGACCCAGUAUAGGGCACAGAGAUCUUACCCCCAAUACAUUGUUUAUUUGGUUUAGUUUUUCCUAUGUUUCUGUUUUAGUUUUCCAUUUCCUUCAUUAGUGCUGCCUACAUCAGGCAGAGUUGACCAAUAACAACCCUAAAAUCAAUUAAAUGCUG
rnacentral:lncRNA from 1 species